GAAGAAGAGUGGACAAAGCUACUCCAGCUCUCUCCUCUGUUCCAGCUGUUGAAGGGGAUGGAGCUCCAGAUGAAGGGCUGGGCCUGUGGGGCUGGGAUCCUGAGAGGAGAGCUCUCUGACAGAGGCAAGAGUUUCGUAGACAUCCUGGAUGCUCAGUGGGAAUGUGAGGGAGAGCUGAUCCCUUUGGACCUUUCGGCCCUUAACCCCAGAGAGUUCCUGGUCUACCAGCAUGGACUCUUUCUGAUGCACACAAUACACAAUCUAAAACUGGUUGGUGCUGCAGUUUCACUCUUAUUCUGCAACCCUGUUGCUUAUUAAUUUUUUGAAUUGCUCUUACUG
rnacentral:lncRNA from 1 species